rnacentral:rRNA from 1 species
ACUCUGUUGUUAGAGAAGAACGUUAAGUAGAGUGGAAAAUGACUUAAGUGACGGUAUCUAACCAGAAAGGGACGGCUAACUACGUGCCAGCAGCCGCGGUAAUACAUAGGUCCCAAGCGUUGUCCGGAUUUAUUGGGCUUAAAGCGAGCGCAGGUGGUAAUGCUUAAGUCUGAUGUAAAAGGCAGUGGCUCAACCAUUGUGUGCAUUGGAAACUGGGAGACUUGAGUGCAGGAGAGGAGAGUGGAAUUCCAUGUGUAGCGGUGAAAUGC